UUGGGCGUAAGAGCUUGUAGGCGGUUUGUCGCGUCUGCUGUGAAAUUUCGGGGCUCAACCCCGAACUUGCAGUGGGUACGGGCAGACUAGAGUGUGGUAGGGGAGACUGGAAUUCCUGGUGUAGCGGUGAAAUGCGCAGAUAUCAGGAGGAACACCGAUGGCGAAGGCAGGUCUCUGGGCCACUACUGACGCUGAGAAGCGAAAGCAUGGGGAGCGAACAGGAUUAGAUACCCUGGUAGUCCAUGCCGUAAACGUUGGGAACUAGGUGUGGGUCUCAUUCCACGAGAUCCGUGCCGCAGCUAACGCAUUAAGUUCCCCGCCUGGGGAGUACGGCCGCAAGGCUAAAACUCAAAGGAAUUGACGGGGGCCCGCACAAGCGGCGGAGCAUGCGGAUUAAUUCGAUGCAACGCGAAGAACCUUACCAAGGCUUGACAUAUACCGGAAACAUCUGGAGACAGGUGCCCCGCAAGGUCGGUAUACAGGUGGUGCAUGGUUGUCGUCAGCUCGUGUCGUGAGAUGUUGGGUUAAGUCCCGCAACGAGCGCAACUCUCGUUCUAUGUUGCCAGCGCGUAAUGGCGGGGACUCAUAGGAGACUGCCGGGGUCAACUCGGAGGAAGGUGGGGAUGACGU
rnacentral:rRNA from 1 species